CUUUGAAAUUAGCAAUGGUUGACCAGUUUGAAGGGAAACCAGUUUGAACUUGGUUUCACAAAUGGAGCCUUUUAUAAUUUAUACUGUAAACAUAGUAGCGCUAGCAAUGCCCACCAGGCACCAACCUAGGCUUGAGAGUUACCAACAACCCAUUUUUCAUGUAUAGUGUGGUGGUGAUUUUUGGAACAACUUCAUGUCCUUCAACUACCUUAACAGAAUACCUUAACAGGGUUGAAGCAGCUACCAUCUUCAUCUGCAAGUAUGCAAAUUUCUUUCCCAAGCACAACCUUGGACCAGCAUUGAACACUGCAUAUUUGAACUGAUUUUCAUUCACAAAUUUCCCAUCCCUAAUCCACCUCUCUGGCUUGAACUCCAAGCAAUCUUUCCCCCAUAUCGACUCCAUCCUAGCCAUUGAGAAGAUGCAGUAAAGAGCCCUGGCUCCUUUCUUCAGCACAGAACCAUCAGGAAGCACAUCAUCUUCUAUGACUUCUUUCAUUUCUGUUGGCACAGAUGGGUAAAGCCUCAUCGAUUCGGAUAAUGCAGCCUGGAGAUAGACCAUGUUUUUUAAUUCUUCCUCUGUGAAAACAAUGUCAUCAUUUUCUUUCCAGCACUCGCGAAGACCUAAAAUCUCAUUGAUCUCGCACAGAAUGUUGUUUUCUACAUUUGGGUUAUUGUGUACUAACCAGAAAAACCAUGCCAAGGCAACUGAAGUUGUGUCUCUUCCUGCAAGAAUGAAACUUACACAGAAAUCUCUAAAAUAUUUAUCAGAGAAU
rnacentral:misc_RNA from 1 species